CCUACGGGAGGCUGCAGUGGGGGAUAUUGCACAAUGGGGGAAACCCUGAUGCAGCGACGCCGCGUGUGGGAAGACGGUCCUCUGGAUUGUAAACCACUGUCCCCAGGGACGAAGAUGACGGUACCUGGGGAGGAAGCUCCGGCUAACUAGGUGCCAGCAGCCGCGGUAAUACGUAGGGAGCAAGCGUUGUCCGGAAUUACUGGGUGUAAAGGGAGCGUAGGCGGGAUGGCAAGUUGGGUGUUAAAUCUACCGGCUCAACUGGUAGUCGCACUCAAAACUGCUAUUCUUGAGUGAAGUAGAGGCAGGCGGAAUUCCUAGUGUAGCGGUGAAAUGCGUAGAUAUUAGGAGGAACACCAGUGGCGAAGGCGGCCUGCUGGGCUUUUACUGACGCUCAGGCACGAAAGCGUGGGUAUCGAACAGGAUUAGAUACCCGGGUAGUC
rnacentral:rRNA from 1 species